AUUGAACGCUGGCGGCAUGCCUUACACAUGCAAGUCGAACGGUAACAGGUCUUCGGAUGCUGACGAGUGGCGAACGGGUGAGUAAUACAUCGGAACGUGCCUAGUAGUGGGGGAUAACUACUCGAAAGAGUGGCUAAUACCGCAUGAGAUCUACGGAUGAAAGCAGGGGAUCGCAAGACCUUGUGCUACUAAAUCGGCCGAUGCAGAUUAGGUAGUUGGUGGGAUAAAAGCUUACCAAGCCGACGAUCUGUAGCUGGUCUGAGAGGACGAUCAGCCACACUGGGACUGAGACACAGCCCAGACUCCUACGGGAGGCAGCAGUGGGGAAUUUUGGACAAUGGGCGCAAGCCUGAUCCAGCAAUGCCGCGUGCAGGAUGAAGGCCUUCGGGUUGUAAACUGCUUUUGUACGGAACGAAAAGCCCUGGGUUAAUACCCUGGGGUCAUGACGGUACCGUAAGAAUAAGCACCGGCUAACUACGUGCCAGCAGCCGCGGUAA
rnacentral:rRNA from 1 species